UCUCCCAAACUCAUACCUUCUGUACGAAAACACCUGUUUUUGAAGUCUUUCUUACGCGCAUCCGUCUUUUCUUCCGUUUCUACCGCAACGGGUCGAUUUCUCGCAUCUCAGCUAGCACGGGACUGUAGAUUUUGCCGAAGAAGCACCCGGUUUGGUGCCAUAAUUGGGACGAUCGAUAGAUCCUUGCUGGGUUGUGCCUUCGAUCGUUAAAAUCUUGGAAAUAUAAUAUCCAUCCAAUGCCGUUGUCCAAGGCUUGUCAAAGUGGGGCCAUCAUGUGGAAUUGCCUUUGUUUUUGUUUUCUCAUUUUUGCUUGUUGGACAUGGAACUCUAAAGGCAUGAACAUGUCUUUCAUGUUAGCAGGUGAGUGCUAACAACUCGAGUUAUGCAGUAGCCAAAUGAAACUGGACUGAAGUGUUAUUUAGAUUGAUUUUAUGCUAAUUUAACAUAAAUUUGGUUACAUGAUCAUUCUCGUAGUAAAUUAAGUACCAUAAUCUUUUUAUAUUUCUCAAGUGAUGCUGCACAUUUGUAUUACUAUUAUCAGGUUAGCAGUCUAUAUAUUCUCUUUUAUAAUCACUUUUGACAAUUUGUAGGUACUUGUCAUCCAUGAUGAGAAUUACACCGAACUUGUUGAUCUUUUGUCAGGGUUGUGCUGGAGCAAAGAGCAAUCAACAAAUAAAACUUGCAGCACGGAAGGAAUGUAAUAAGUUUGAAGAGUUGUCCAUUCUUAAAACAUGACACAUGUUUUCACUUAAUUUUUAUAUAGUUUUAGCCAUUUGUGCAAUGCCCAUUGAGUAAAGUUUGACAGCAUGCACUGUGGUUAUUAAAAGCUCACUAGCAUAAUCCAGAAGCUUGGUUUCCCAGCUAACUUUAAGGUAUCUAGUCAUAUAAUCUAGGUUCUUGGUGCUUCCUAUCCUCAUGUCUCUUCCCUAAAUUAUUUCUUUUACUUGUCUACUUUUUCUGUCUAAUUUGUAUUUCAAUGAAUAGGAUUUUAAGAUCCAGAAUAUUCUUAGUUCAUGUGAGGGCCCUGCAUCUUCUCAUGGUGUUUUCUGCAGUGCAAGUUUAUCAAUCUUCUACGUGCUUGAGAACAAUUUACUUAUGUAUCUCCACAUGAUGUCUUGUUUUUCCAUUAUUCCAUUUUAAUUCUUAAGCAAAUUGUUUAGUGGUUAAUAUUCUAUUAAUUAUACUAUUUCCAUUUUGAGCCUAGAGAACCACAUUGGCUUAUCAGUGACUCUAUGCUCAUGCUCAAUUUCUUAUGUUAGUCACAGAGAUUAUAUUUCAUUAGAGUAACUUUGUUAUAUAUGCUUCAAUCUAAUGAAGCAUCAAAGUUCUGGAAGUUUUUCUUGCUGAAAUUAUACAUACCCAUCUGGAACCUAAAACAGCUGCUUUUGUGUACAUGUACAGACCAGCGAUUUUUCCUGGUUUGAUAUUGCGUAUGAAAAAAAUCAAAGAUGGUACUUUUCAUUUUUGCUUAUGGAAAAAUUGUUCUCACUGGGGCUAAGGUUCAAGAUGAGGCACAUGCUGCAUUUGAGAAUAUACCAGUCCAUACAGAAAUCAGAAAGAACCAGCAAUGGUAUGGUAGAUUGUUACAUUGAAAAGGUUCCAUUUAGUUUCUAUAUGCUCAAUCAAAAAGCAAAGGGAAAAGACUUGUGAUUUGAUGCAACCUUGCCUUGUGACAAUUUGUUGUUUUAAUACAUUGGAAUGCACUGAGAAACUUCUCACUUGAAACUUUCCUAGCAGAUGAUUCAUAGCUGCUGCCUGGAAUGGAAUUUUGAACUACAACAUAUGUAAAUAUUAAAUGGCACAUCAUCCUUUAUCGGUUGUAUAUGACCUACAGUUUUCUUGCUUUUGAUCUACUGUUUGUGCAGCACUUAGUAUGAAGUAAAUUGGCCUUAAAAUGUC